rnacentral:rRNA from 1 species
GGUCAAGCGACUAAGUGCAUGUGGUGGAUGCCUUGGCGAUCACAGGCGAUGAAGGACGUGACAGCCUGCGAAAAGCUCCGGGGAGCUGGCAAAUGAGCAUUGAUCCGGAGAUGUCCGAAUGGGGAAACCCGGCCCGCAAGGGUCACCGCCGCCUGAAUACAUAGGGCGGAGGGAGCUAACCCGGUGAACUGAAACAUCUCAGUAGCCGGAGGAAAAGAAAUCAACCGAGAUUCCGCUAGUAGUGGCGAGCGAACGCGGAAGAGCCUUGCUGUCUUUAGCCGAUGUCGUAGUGGAACGCUCUGGAAAGGGCGGCCGCAGUGGGUGACAGCCCCGUACACGAAACGACGCCGGUGGAACCAAGUCAGCGACAAGUAGGGCGGGACACGUGAAAUCCUGUCUGAAGAUGGGGGGACCAUCCUCCAAGGCUAAAUACUCGUGAUCGACCGAUAGUGAACCAGUACCGUGAGGGAAAGGCGAAAAGAACCCCGGAAGGGGAGUGAAAUAGAUCCUGAAACCGCAUGCAUACAAACAGUGGGAGUCCCGCAAGGGAUGACUGCGUACCUUUUGUAUAAUGGGUCAGCGACUUACGUUCUGUUGCGAGCUUAACCGCAUAGGGAAGGCGCAGCGAAAGCGAGUCCGAAUAGGGCGCUUUAGUAGCAGGGCGUAGACCCGAAACCGGAUGAUCUAGCCAUGGCCAGGCUGAAGCGGGGGUAACACCUCGUGGAGGGCCGAACCCACUACCGUUGAAAAGGUAGGGGAUGAGCUGUGGCUAGGGGUGAAAGGCUAAACAAAUCCGGAGAUAGCUGGUUCUCUCCGAAAACUAUUGAGGUAGUGCCUCGUGUAUCACCUUCGGGGGUAGAGCACUGUAAUGGUAGUGGGGAGCAUCGCGCUCUACCACGCCAUAGCAAACUCCGAAUACCGAAGAGUGCGAGCACGGGAGACAGACGGCGGGUGCUAACGUUCGUCGUCGAGAGGGAAACAACCCAGACCACCAGCUAAGGUCCCCAAGACACAGUUAAGUGGGAAACGAGGUGGGAAGGCUCAGACAGCCAGGAUGUUGGCUUAGAAGCAGCCAUCAUUUAAAGAAAGCGUAAUAGCUCACUGGUCGAGUCGUCCUGCGCGGAAGAUGUAACGGGGCUCAAACUGUGCACCGAAGCUGUGGAUUCAGGAGUCAGAAUUCAGAAGACAGAUGACAGAUGGAGAUCAGGGGUUUCGAGGAUCUCGAGGUAUUCCGGCGUGCCUAUAAGCUGGCGCUGGAAGUCCAUCGGGAGAGUUUGAAAUUCCCUGCGGUCGAGCAGUAUGCGCUGGCCGAGCCAGAUCAGCCGGGCGAGCAAAUCCAUCUGUGCCAAUCUGGCCGAAGGUUACGCCAAACAGGCACCGGUCGAGUUCACGCUUCUACAAAUGAGCUGGGCUCCGCAGACGAGAUGCGGGUCUGGUGCCGCUUCUGCCCGACCUUGGAUACAUCGAGGCCGCAUGGAAACGCUGGCGCGACGAGUACCAGGAAAUCGCCAAGAUGCUUCAGGGCAUCGCCAGAAGCUGGAAAUAGCGCGAGCUGUUUCUGGCCUCUGUCAUCUGAAUUCUGGCUCCUGGAUGGUAGGAGAGCGUUCCGUAGGCCUGUGAAGGCGAGGUGUGAACCUCGCUGGAGGUAUCGGAAGUGCGAAUGCUGACAUGAGUAGCGAUAAAGCAGGUGAAAGGCCUGCUCGCCGUAAGCCCAAGGUUUCCUGCGCCACGUUCAUCGGCGCAGGGUGAGUCGGCCCCUAAGAUGAGGGCGAGAGCCGUAGUCGAUGGGAAGCGGGUCAAUAUUCCCGCACCGACGUGGAAUGCGAUGGGGGGACGGAGAAGGUUAACCAGGCCGGGUGUUGGACGUCCCGGUUCAAGCGUGUAGGCGUGCUGCGCAGGCAAAUCCGCGCGGCUUAGCCAAGGCGUGACGACGAGGGCCGGCUUGCCGGCUCGAAGCGGGUGAUACCAGGCUCCCAGGAAAAGCCUCUAAGCUUCAGUUCCACGACGACCGUACCGCAAACCGACACAGGUGGGCGAGCUGAAUAUGCUCAGGCGCUUGAGAGAACUCGGGUGAAGGAACUCGGCAAAUUGACACCGUAACUUCGGGAUAAGGUGUGCCCUCGCCAGGUGAACCCGUACAGGGGGAGCCGAGGGGGGCCGCAGAGAAUCGGUGGCUGCGACUGUUUAACAAAAACACAGGGAAGAUGCAAUCUCCCCGCGGCAAGACGGAAAGACCCCGUGCACCUUUACUGUAGCUUUGCAUUGGACUGUGAUGAGGUUUGUGUAGGAUAGCUGGGAGGCUUUGAAGCCCGGUCGCCAGAUCGGGUGGAGCCAACGUUGAAAUACCAGCCUGACGUCAUUGCGGUUCUAACCUUGGUCCGUCAUCCGGAUCGGGGACCGUGCAUGGUAGGCAGUUUGACUGGGGCGGUCUCCUCCCAAAGAGUAACGGAGGAGCUCGAAGGUUCGCUUAGCGCGGUCGGACAUCGCGCUUCAAUGUGUAAGGGCACAAGCGAGCUUGACUGCGAGACUGACAAGUCGAGCAGGUGCGAAAGCAGGACCUAGUGAUCCGGUGGUUCUGAAUGGAAGGGCCAUCGCUCAACGGACAAAAGGUACGCCGGGGAUAACAGGCUGAUACCGCCCAAGAGUUCAUAUCGACGGCGGUGUUUGGCACCUCGAUGUCGGCUCAUCACAUCCUGGGGCUGUAGCCGGUCCCAAGGGUAUGGCUGUUCGCCAUUUAAAGUGGUACGUGAGCUGGGUUCAAAACGUCGUGAGACAGUUUGGUCCCUAUCUGCCGUGGGCGCUGGAGAUUUGACGGGAGCUGCUCCUAGUACGAGAGGACCGGAGUGGACGUACCGCUGGUGUACCGGUUGUGACGCCAGUCGCAUCGCCGGGUAGCUAUGUACGGAAGCGAUAACCGCUGAAAGCAUCUAAGCGGGAAACGUGCCUGAAGAUGAGAUCUCCCGGGGACUAGAUCCCCCUGAAGGGUCGUGGCAGACCACCACGUUGAUAGGCCGGAUGUGGAAGCGCGGCAACGCGUUAAGCUGACCGGUACUAAUUGCCCGUGCGGCUUGAUCCC